AGCAGCGUAUAUUAAAGUUGUUGCGGUUAAAAAGCUCGUAGUUGGAUUUCUGUUGUGAGCAGCCGGCCCACACUAACUAUGUGUGCGUAUCUGGUUGAAUCACUACACCCUCCUGAGGAACAUGGUGCGCUUCGUUGCGUGGUAUGGGAAUCAGGACUUUUACUUUGAGGAAAUUAGAGUGCUCACGGCAGGCGUUUGCCUUGAGUAUGUUAGCAUGGAAUAAUGAUAUAGCCUUAGGCGAUCGCGUCCAUUUUGUUGGUUUCUAGACGCAAUCGAAUGAUUAAUAGGGGCAGUUGGGGGCACUCGUAUUAUGACGCCAGAGGUGGAAUUCUUGGAUUGUCGUACGACGAGCUACUGCGAAAGCAUCAUUUGCCAAGGAUGUUUUCA
rnacentral:rRNA from 1 species